UACAUGUGGGGCAAGCGUUGUUCGGAAUUACUGGGCAUAAAGGGUGCGUAGGCGGCGCGUCAAGUCACUGGUGAAAGUUUGCGGCCCAACCGUAAAAUUGCCGGCGAUACUGGCGUGCUUGAGUGCGUGAGGGGUUGGGGGAACGAGUGGUGUAGCGGUGAAAUGCGUAGAGAUCACUCGGAAGGCCAGAGCCGAAGGGGCCCAACUGGUACGCAACUGACGCUGAGGCACGAAAGCGUGGGGAGCAAACAGG
rnacentral:rRNA from 1 species